ensembl:lncRNA
CCUGAAGUAACAUUGACAGGUGGUCUUGAUGUUGCUGGCACAUUGAUUGGACCUGAAGUUACGUUGACAGGUGGUCUUGAUGUUGCUGUCACAUUGAUUGGACCUGAAGUUACAUUGACAGGUGGUCUUGAUGUUGCUGUCACAUUGAUUGGACCUGAAGUUACAUUGACAGGUGGUCUUGAUGUUGCUGGCACAAUGACUGGACCUGAAGUUACAUUGACAGGUGGUCUUGAUGUUGCUGUUACAUUGAUUGGACCUGAAGUUACAUUGACAGGUGGUCUUGAUGUUGCUGUUACAUUGAUUGGACCUGAAGUUACAUUGACAGGCGGUCUUGAUGUUGCUUUUACAAUGACUGGCCCUGAAGUUACAUUGACAGGUGGUCUUGAUGUUGCUGUCACAUUGGUUUGACCUGAAGUUACAUUGACAGGUGGUCUUGAUGUUGCUGUUACAUU